rnacentral:sRNA from 1 species
UUUGAUUUGAUUUACAUAAUGUUAUCUAGUAUUUUAUUACAUUACUUUAAGUAAACGAUAAUCAGGAUAUAAAUCACCAUUUAACAUUAUGUAAAUCAAAUCAAAGAAAUGAAGCAGAUAAAAUCAAUUAAACAUGGAGAAAGACUGUGGCGUGAAAAUAAUACACACUCGGUAAGCUGGGCCUCCUACAUGGAUCCAAGAUGGUGUAUGAUAUAAGUAAAACAAGACUGAACAUAUGAGAAACCGGAAGUAGCCAAGUCGGAUCCUAUACUACCUUACCAAGACUUAGUUACGACCCACGACCCCAUCUGUUCGAAACAUUCCCAAAAGUUCUAGGUUUUUAUGUUAUACACUCUUUAAAGCAUUUUCAGAUCUAGAUUAUUCGGCCAUUCCGGAUAGUAUUCGUGUGUUUGUGGUAAUUUCUUUAGACUGUGUACCUCUAAAUAACACCAAUUCGUAUCCCGUUGAAUAAUGUAAACCGAACGUAGUGCUCAUGCAGUAUUUGCAUGUAGUAUUUUCACACCCUUCUUACGUGACGUUCAAUUGAAGGUUUUU